rnacentral:lncRNA from 1 species
UAAGGGCUUGACUGUGGGCUCAACAGGAAGCAACAUGACCCUUUCACUGGAAGAUCUCUAAAAGUCAGACCAGUUCCACUACAGAAGACUCCUUCAGCUUCCUGCUGGUUGGUGGGGGUAUUCUACGAGCCUGCUUUCUCUUAAAGGAAUUAUUCUGUUAUCAGCUCCACACCCCAAUCCUGACCGCCUUUGUUUCUAUUCUACCUGAAUCUGGGAACACUCUGCCCAGUUUCUCCCAGAAAAUAAAACUCCAAUCUCCUUGGGAGAUUCUAUGACCAUACGUACAAUUUUAGCCCAAGCAUGUCUUUUUGGCUUUGUACCCAUCAGAUACCUGAUGUUUCCAGUGCAGAAUCUCUCAGGGGUUUAUUGGGCAAUCUAGCUCAUCUGUGUUGCUGCCCGCCCUGUGCCAGCAGAACCAUUCAAUUGGAAUAGAAAUCAAGGGAUCAUUAAAUUCAUCCUUCUGCAUUCAGAUUCAGAAAAGCCUGAAUUUGCAAAAAGUUUGUUUCGAUCAUCAUAGGCAAGGUGAAAUAGAAAGUCGAAGAAAUCAUCUCGGUCAUUACGAGUCCUCAAGUAGUUGCUUUUUGUACUUUGAAUAAAGACUUUAGUCAUAGUAGGAGAGAUAGACUGUAAUGGACUUACUUCACGAUGGCUGCACCAGAGGUUCCAAGAACGAUGGCUUUCAACUUCAACCCACAUCUAAAACACACCACUGUAGCCACACCCUACACCCUGUGGUUAUCCAGUUGUGAGUCCUAUUGGAGAGAUGAGAUUUAACUAGAUGACCAUGACCAUGAAGAACUUCUCAAGCUCUUUGGUUCUACAGGUGUAUGACAGUUUCCUGGAGGGGGUCAUAUGGAUCUACUACUACCUUCCCACUGACAUUAGGCAGAUGUUCAUUAGAUUGGUUUGAUAGAUGUAAUGGUUAAUAUUGAGUGUCAACUUGAUUGGAUUGAAGGAUGCAAAGUAUUGUUCCUGGGUGCGUCUGUGAGGGUGUUGCCAAAGGAGAUUAACAUUUGAAUCAUUGGACUGGGAGAGGCAGACCCACCCUCAAUCUGGGUGGGCACAAUCUAAUCAGCUGCCAGCAUGGCCAGCAUAAAAGCAGGCAGAAGAAUGUGGAAGGAGUAGACUGGCUCAGUCUCCUGGCCUACAUCUUUCUCCCACGCUGCAUGCUUCCUGCCCUCGAACAUUGGACUCCAAGUUCUUCAGUUUUGGGACUCUUGAACCUUUGACCACAGACUGAAGGCUACACUGUUGACUUCCCUACUUUUGAGCUUUUAGGACUCGGACUGGCUUCCUUGUUCCUCAGCUUGCAGACGGCCUAUUGUGGGACCUCACUUUGUGAUCAUGUGAGUCAAUACUCCUUAAUAAACUCUCCUUUAAAUAUACAUCUAUCUUGUUAGUUCUGUCCCUCUAGAGAACCUUGACUAAUACGAUAGGGAAGCCAUAGUGACUGUCACUAAUAUUCUAAUAAAAGAAUUAUUAUCUAUGCCAACUCUGGAGAGCCACAGGUAAGCUAUACAUAGAUCAAAGUGUAAACCAGGGGUUCUCUGAGUGUGAUUCCUGGACCAGCAGUAUGUGGUGACAUUUGAAAUGCAAAUUCUUGGGCCCCACCUCAGACCACUGAAUUAGAAACUCCAGAGGUGGAGCUCAGCAGUUUGUUUUAACUAGUUCUCCAGGUGAUGCUGAGGCACAUCACAGUUGGAAAUGGUGAGGUAAGUAAGGAAUUUCAGCAGUUCAACUGCUGAAAUGUAGAUCUUAACAAAGUGCUAAAUGAAUAGAGGAAAAAGGGAUAAUUAUCUGAGACAUUUGGAUCUUGUUUCACGAAUAGGAGUUCAGAUGAAGUUAGGGAGGUCUUUUGAAGUAUAGGAAACAAGACAUGCAAAGACUGGGGAGGUUAGGAAGACCAGACCUAUUUCAAGAUAUACAAUGGCCUAGUGGGGCUUGAGGUAGCAGGGUGCAUUCUUUUUCUUAGAUAUGCUUCCUCCUCUCUGCUCCAUGGUGCCACACAUGAUGCUGGUGAUAAAGGAGACUGAGCGAGGGUAAAGAUUCACAGUGCCAGCAAGGGCUUGGACAUUGGCAGCCUAUGGAUCAAAUUGUGCUUGCAGAUGGGCUGUAUUUGGUAUUUUAUUGUACAAACACUAUGUAUUUGGCAUAGCAUUAUACAAAUAAAUGUGAACUAACAUUUAAUAAUCAGUUUGGAUGUAUAUAUGUGUAUAUAUAUUAUGUAUAAAUAACAUAUAUGCUAACACAAAAAUAUAUGUGCUAUAUUUAUAUUCUAUACAAAUAACAUAUAAAUAUAUGUUAACAUAUAAAAAUAUAUG